rnacentral:rRNA from 1 species
AACGAACGCUGGCGGCAUGCCUAACACAUGCAAGUCGAGCGAACCCUUCAGGUCUAUUGUCGCCCGGGUGCAUAACGCGUGGGAACCUUCCCUUAUGUUCGAACUACCUCCCCGAAUGGGAUGCUAAUACCGAAUAAUGUCUUCUAACCAAAGAUUUAUCGCCUUUGGUUGUGCCCGCGUUGCAUUAGCUCGUUGGUAAGGUAACAGCUUACCAAGGCAACGAUGCGUAGCCGACCUGAGAGGGUGAUCAGCCACACUGGGACUGAGACACGGUCCAGACUCCUACGGGAGGCAGCAGUAGGGAAUCUUCCGCAAUGGGCGAAAGCCUGACGGAGCAACGCCGCGUGAGUGAUGAAGGUCUUCGGAUCGUAAAACUCUGUUAUUAGGGAAGAACAAAUGUGUAAGUAACUAUGCACGUCUUGACGGUACCUAAUCAGAAAGCCACGGCUAACUACGUG